GACGAACGCUGGCGGCGUGCCUAAUACAUGCAAGUUGAGCGCUGAAGGUUGGUACUUGUACCGACUGGAUGAGCAGCGAACGGGUGAGUAACGCGUGGGUAAUCUGCCUUUGAGCGGGGGACAACAUUUGGAAACGAAUGCUAAUACCGCAUAAAAACUUUAAACACAAGUUUUAAGUUUGAAAGAUGCAAUUGCAUCACUCAAAGAUGAUCCCGCGUUGUAUUAGCUAGUUGGUGAGGUAAAGGCUCACCAAGGCGAUGAUACAUAGCCGACCUGAGAGGGUGAUCGGCCACAUUGGGAAUGAGACACGGCCCAAACUCCUACGGGAGGCAGCAGUAGGGAAUCUUCGGACAUGGACGAAAGUCUGAACGAGCAACGCCGCGUGAGUGAAGAAGGUUUUCGGAUCGUAAAACUCUGUUGGUAGAGAAGAAAGUUGGUGAGAGUGGAAAGCUCAUCAAGUGACGGUAACUACCCAGAAAGGGACGGCUAACUACGUG
rnacentral:rRNA from 1 species